GUGGAUCCAUUUAAGGCUCGUUUGAUUUCUCAGCUGAUUUUUGAAUCUUUGUGUUUUUCUUCUUCACAGCUCCAAACAUUUAUAAGUCAAACUUUCCUCUCUGCUCUUGUUCAGCAGCUGGACCAUCAGCCACGACUACAGGAAGCUGCACACCUUCAUUAACUUUGACUGGAAGCACUGAGCAGCCUGAAAGAGCAGCAUCUGCAGGUGUGCUGCUGUAUGUAAUCAUCUCUCUGCUCAUCAUCAUCAUCCUCUCAUCACUGACUGUUCUAAUAAUCUGCAUCAAGAGGAAGAGCAGCAGAGGUUUGAGGACCAGAGGAAACUCAGAGGGCACAAACAUGGAGGUGACUUUCUUUCUCUUUGGUUCCUCUCACUGUUGACAGACUGCUACUGUAACAAAGAAAUAAAGCAGUCACAGUGUGAUGGUUCAGUUUGUAGACUGUUCCAGAAAUUAC